rnacentral:rRNA from 1 species
AGAGUUUGAUCCUGGCUCAGGACGAACGCUGGCGGCGUGCCUAACACAUGCAAGUCGAGCGGAGAUAUAUGGAUGAAGUUUUCGGAUGGAGUUUAUAUAUUUUAGCGGCGGACGGGUGAGUAACGCGUGAGGAACCUGCCCUUUACAGGGGGAUAACGCACCGAAAGGUGCACUAAUACCGCAUGAGACCACAGCACCGCAUGGUGCAGGGGUCAAAGGAGCAAUCCGGUGAAGGAGGGACUCGCGUCCGAUUAGAUAGUUGGUGAGGUAACGGCUCACCAAGUCAACGAUCGGUAGCCGACCUGAGAGGGUGAUCGGCCACAUUGGAACUGAGACACGGUCCAAACUCCUACGGGAGGCAGCAGUGGGGAAUAUUGGGCAAUGGGGGGAACCCUGACCCAGCGACGCCGCGUGAGGGAAGAAGGUUUUCGGAUUGUAAACCUCUGUCCUUGGUGAAGAGGAGAAGACGGUAGCCAAGGAGGAAGCCCCGGCUAACUACGUGCCAGCAGCCGCGGUAAUACGUAGGGGGCGAGCGUUGUCCGGAAUGAUUGGGCGUAAAGGGCGCGUAGGCGGCCAUGCAAGUCUGGAGUGGAAGUCCAUCUUUCAAGGGUGGAAUUGCUUUGGAAACUGUGUGGCUGGAGUGCAGGAGAGGUUAUCGGAAUUCCCGGUGUAGCGGUGAAAUGCGUAGAGAUCGGGAGGAACAUCAGUGGCGAAGGCGGGUAACUGGACUGCAACUGACGCUGAGGCGCGAAAGCGUGGGGAGCAAACAGGAUUAGAUACCCUGGUAGUCCACACAGUAAACGAUGAAUGCUAGGUGUAGGUGGUAUCGACCCCAUCUGUGCCGCAGUAAACACAGUAAGCAUUCCGCCUGGGGAGUACGGU